GAACAGGUAUGAGGCCUGGAGACAUUGUGACAGCAUCAAAUGGAAAGACAAUUGAGGUCAAUAACACUGAUGCUGAAGGUAGACUUACUCUGGCUGACACAUUGGUAUAUGCUUGUAACCAAGGUGUUGAUAAGAUUGUUGACCUAGCAACCUUAACCGGUGCUUGCAUAGUUGCUUUUGGACCCUCAAUAGCAGGUGUCUUCACACCAAGUGAUGACCUGGCGAAGGAGGUGUUUGCAGCUUCAGAAAUCAGUGGGGAGAAAUUUUGGAGGUUGCCAAUGGAGGAGAGUUAUUGGGAAUCAAUGAAAUCCGGAAUAGCCGAUAUGCUCAACACCGGUGCUCGUCAAGGUGGUUCAAUAACUG
rnacentral:lncRNA from 1 species